AUUUACACGGUAGUGACACCAUUGGCUUCAGAAAUGCCGAUCACACUGAAACGAUCGGAGAGUUUGACUUACUUUUCUUGAAGCCAGCUGCACGCCAAUUGAUUAACAAUGGACACCAGCAGCUCCGCCCAUGGAACCGCCGCCGCCGCCUCUUCAUCUUCCUCUCGGCGUCCAAACCGCUGGAUGUACGAGGUGUUCUUGAGCUUUAGAGGCGACGACACCCGCAACACCUUCACAGACCACCUCUCCAUUGUGUUACGCAAUGCCGGGAUCAACAAGUUUACAGACUACCAGCUCAAAAGGGGGGAAAUAUACAGAGCGAACUUGACCGAAAAAUCGUACGGUCGAGGAUCGCCGUCGUCGUCGUCUUUUCCAAGAGGUACCCAGAUUUCCGAUGGUGCCUGAGGCCGAGGGAGCUGUCGAAGAUCAUGAGGUGCCGAGAAGAUCAAGAGGGCAUAAUAGUCUAUCCAAUAUUCUACGACGUUGAUCCUUCUAACGUCAGGAAACAGAGUGGUGGUUUUGCGGGCAUUUUGGAAGCAUGAAAGGGAUGAAGAUUCAGAUGAGGUCGAGCAGUGGAGAAAGGAUCUCAAGGCUUCUUCAGAUUUGGGUGGCCAGAAUCUUAAAACCUCGGCGGACGGACGUGAAGGAUUGUCUAUCGAGAAAAUUGUUGGGGACGUCGGGGAACGACUGAAAACAAGAGACUUAAAACAAGUCAAGUGCUCUAGUUGGAAUGGAUUUUAGCGUGCAAAAAUUUAGUACUGAAUACUUAGACGUUGGAGGUUCACCUGACUUUCAAAUAAUUGGAAUUUGGGUUAUGGAAGGUUAGGUAAAACGACGCAUGCAGGAGCUAUUUGUGGCGAAUAUCAUCGUUGUUAUAGUGGUCAAUGUUACCUUGAAAAGGUGAGGAGUAAAAAAGAAAAGUAUGGUUGCUCUGCAAGAACAACUUCUUCGAGAUGUUUUGAAACGGGUGGACAUUAAUGUGAGCAAUGUUGCCAAAGGAACCAAAGAGAUAGAGAAAAGACUUGGAAGCAUGAAGAUGCUUGUCAUCGUUGAUGACAUAGAUGAUGCGGACUAAUUACAUGAAUUGGCGAUAAAACAUGAAUCGACUACGUUUGUUAAGAUUCCGGCCACCCAAAUCUGCAGAAGCCUUAAGAUCCUUUCUCCACUACUCGACCUCAUUUGGAUCUUCAUCCCUUUCGUGCUCCCGAAAUGCUUUUCCAAAAAUACCACUGUUUCCUCACUUGAGAAGGGUCGACGUCAUACAAUAUUGGAAGACUACUUUCCCCUCUUGAUCUUCUUGGCCCCUCAUGAUCUUGGCCAGCUCCUACAGACACCAUCCGGACUCUGUGUACCUCUUUGAGAAGACAGACGACGGUAUUCCUCGAUCCUUUGAUUUCUUGGUCAAGUUCACUAUGUAUGUUUUCCAGUCUUCUGAGCUGGUAGUCUAUGCAUGUGUUGAUUCUGACAUUGCGUAACACAAUUGAGAGGUGGUCUGUGAAGGUAGUGCGUGUCGUCGCCUCUAAAGCUCAGGAACACCUCGUUCUUCCAGCGGUUUGAGCAGCACGGGCAAGACGAAGAGGCUGCGAUGGCGGUUCCAUGGGCGGAACUGAUGGUAUACAUCAAUAAUUGGUACUAGCGUUGGGAGACUAGAGGGAGUGCAACAGGCCGUGCGGCUUGGCUUUCAGAUAGCCAAAGCCAAGUCAAACGUCAUCGCCUAAGUAUUAUAGAGAAACGAAAUGCGUGGAGCGAUAUGAAUAUACAUGUAUAUGGCUUGAGGUCUGCUGUCCCGGAUUUCGUGUCCCGUUUGUGUCUCUUGUUUAAUUUUUUAACACGUGUCUCUUAUUUUAUACCCACAUCUAACACUGUUAAGUUUUAAUAAAACUAAUUAAAAAAUAAAUAAAAACCAAACGGGUUAAUCUGAAGCGUCUAUUCUCAUCGAACAAUGGCAAAUCCAGCACAGAGAGAGCAUUCGGCUUUUGUGCUCGUCCAUGAUCGAUGCAUCUACUAUUUUUCGUAGCCAACAAAUGGCCAACAACUUUCUGAGCUAGGGGCAAUCCUCCACAGUAAAGAACAACAUCUUCUGCGAUGUUGAACUCGUUGCUGUCAACGAUCCCUUCAUCACCACCGACUACAUGGUAAGUAAUUUACACGGAUAUCCGCCCGUGACUGAAAACAGGUUCAGCUGAGUAGAUAGAAGUAUGCAGGGCUGCCAGGGCCUACAAUUCAUUAGUUGUGGGAUAUGUAUAUAUCUCGUCACGUCCCAUGCAGACACAUACCAACAUUUCAGGAUCAGGUGGAUUGAGUCUUAAAAGUUGAAAAUUAGUUUAAAUGACAAAUUGAAAAAUAAAAAAGUAUGUAAGU